UACGUAGGGGGCAAGCGUUGUCCGGAUUUAUUGGGCGUAAAGAGCGUGUAGGCGGCUUGGUAGGUCCGCUGUGAAAACUCGAGGCUCAACCUCGAGAUGUCGGCGGAAACCGCUUGGCUAGAGUCCGGAAGAGGAGAGUGGAAUUCCUGGUGUAGCGGUGAAAUGCGCAGAUAUCAGGAAGAACACCCGUGGCUAAGGCGGCUCUCUAGUACGGUACUGACGCUGAGACGCGAAAGCGUGGGGAGCGAACAGG
rnacentral:rRNA from 1 species